CUACGGGUUGCUGCAGUGGGGAAUAUUGGACAAUGGGGGAAACCCUGAUCCAGCAAUGCCGCGUGUGUGAAGAAGGCCUGCGGGUUGUAAAGCACUUUCGGUUGGGAGGACUGCUUCUAGCACUAAUAUUGUUGGAAGUUGACGUUACCUUCAGAAGAAGCACCGGCUAACUCCGUGCCAGCAGCCGCGGUAAUACGGAGGGUGCAAGCGUUAAUCGGAAUUACUGGGCGUAAAGCGCGCGUAGGCGGCUAGAUCAGUCGGGUGUGAAAGCCCCGGGCUUAACCUGGGAACUGCAUCCGAUACUGUCUAGCUUGAGUACAGGAGAGGAGAGUGGAAUUCCACAUGUAGCGGUGAAAUGCGUAGAUAUGUGGAGGGACACCAAUGGCGAAGGCAGCUCUCUGGCCUGAUACUGACGCUAAGGUGCGAAAGCGUGGGGAGCAAACAGGAUUAGAUACCCGCGUAGUC
rnacentral:rRNA from 1 species